rnacentral:rRNA from 1 species
GACGAACGCUGGCGGCGUGCUUAACACAUGCAAGUCGAGCGGAAAGGCCCUUUCGGGGGUACUCGAGCGGCGAACGGGUGAGUAACACGUGAGUAAUCUGCCCUGUGCUUCGGGAUAGCCAACGGAAACGGAGAUUAAUACUGGACAUGACAUGCUCCUGCAUGGGGGUGUGUGGAAAGUUUUUUCGGCGCAGGAUGUGCUCGCGGCCUAUCAGCUUGUUGGUGGGGUAAUGGCUUACCAAGGCUUCGACGGGUAGCCGGCCUGAGAGGGUGACCGGCCACACUGGGACUGAGACACGGCCCAGACUCCUACGGGAGGCAGCAGUGGGGAAUAUUGGACAAUGGGCGGAAGCCUGAUCCAGCAACGCCGCGUGAGGGAUGACGGCCUUCGGGUUGUAAACCUCUUUCAGCACCGACGAAGCGAGAGUGACGGUAGGUGCAGAAGAAGGACCGGCCAACUACGUGCCAGCCGCCGCGGUAACAC